UUUUUUUUUGUUUCUCCGCUUAAAUGUUGAGUUUUAGGUUAACGCUAUACUCUCUCCAUUCUGAAAUAUAAAACAUCGAAGGGUUCAAAAUUUAUACUCUAAGACAUUCUAGAAUUUUUGGACAAAUAUUAAAAAAAUUAUUUAAUUUUCUUUAGCUUUCAACUGCAUACUUACCUUUUCUAUUCGUUUCUCCGCUGCUUAAUCUUAGAAAAAAUUUAAUUACGGUCGGUUAACGAAGAGCUCUUAGAGGAUACGUGCAUCUUUUCUUCUCUCCCUUAUCCUAACAUUGCUAGAAUGCACAAGACAGAGAGAGUAUAGGGUAAAUGAGAACAUAGCAUCCUAAAUUAGGAGAGUUGUUACGGUGCUUGAGGAACUAAUGGUUCCUCCCCACCCAAUUAUUAUGAACCGUUGAUUUAAAAAUGAGCGAUUUAAUUUAAACGGGGUUAGUUUAACAAUUGUAUAUUAUCCCUUACCACACCAAAUAGCUCAACGAACCCCAUGCAUUCUAAAUAUAAUCUUGGCUGUCCUCCAGAUCGCUCAUCUUGUGCUUGCAGCUCACCUGUGCGACUCUCCCCACGCGACGAGAGACGAACUCAUCUUGUAGUGGGACCAAAGCCGGUGAACUAAAGUACAAUUUCAUUACAAGCAUUGGUUUAGUUUUUUCAUAAACUCCAAACCUUCAGCUGUUCACACCGUGAUACUAACAAGCAGAGCCCCUUCCGUCACCCAAUCCCCUAAACGAACACUGCAUAUCGCACAAAGAAACUUGAGCGCUCCUCACCAGAUGCCUCCGCAUUCCGAGGACCUUGAUAGUGUGCAUGAACGCGAGGACGCAAUCGAAUCCGGUGAUCUUUUGGGCAUCAGGGGUCAUCGAUUUUGUGGGCCUCGGGGCAGGGGCGCAGCCAUCCACACUUAGUAAUCUACGAGCAGUCACAUUCCUCACAGGCAUGCGAUUGAACAUCAUGCAGGCCUGAGUGCAUGACCUACUCUGCCCUUUAAUUUGCAUUGCAGCUUGUACCUUCAGCAUCAUCUCAAGGAUGACGUUCCUCAGUUCUACUUCCUCUGACCUUGGCCUUGCCAACGAGGCAGGCGCACAGGUAGCCGGCAAGGAGCGCCAUCUAGGUGACCACUGUCCUGGGUGCGUCACUCAGCGUACCUGCCGCGCGUUCGCCGACACGAGCGCCGUCCAGGACACCACGAUCCGUCGAGUCUUUCGUUGAUCACCUUACGAGUUUCGCAUGAAACCCAUCCGCCCAGACGGUCACAGUGAUGCCAUGGAGAUCGCCGGUAGAGGGAUAGGUGGAUUGAGCCGGACAGUAGCCAGUGGCGGAGUCUUGCCAACGAAGGAGCUUUGGCCGGGUGACCAACUACUUACCAGCCGGCGGCUGCCGGUCCAAGGCUUAAGUUCCUUGUAAUAGGUUUAUUUGAAUUCUUAAUCAUUGGAUCGGGCUAAAAAAACCAACCUUUAGAUAAAAGCUAGCUCCAGUUACUCUAUACCUUAGUCCUCUCAACCGCCGCGCUCUUCUCCCAAGCCACCAUGGAUCAAAAGUUCGAGCCUCGCUCUUCUCCCAAGCCACCAUGGCUUGAAAGUUCGGGCCUGAAAAAAUCUCGAAGACAAAGAAAGUGGAGCUCAUCGGUACCGGCUGUGGUGCCGCCGUUCUGUUGCUCAUCUUAUUUUGCUGGCUCUUCCUGUGUCGGAAGAUCCGGAAGGUGGCGGUGUCAGCGCAGGUCACGAGCAGCUUGGAGCAGCCCGCGCACCCUCCCCAUAGUAGGACGUAGGAGCAACCACACUGAGCGGAAUGGAUGCAGGGGUAGGGGGCUCAAGCCCCCGCCCCCCACGUUGGAUCUUCCCUUUAAAUUUUUUACCAUUGGAUGUGGGUUAUAAAAGCCAACCUUAGGUAAAAAGCCACCUCUAGUUAUCCUACAUUGUAGUCCUCUCAACCGUCACGCUCCUCUCCCAAGCCACCAUGGCUCGAAAGCUCGGACCUGAAAAAAUCUCGAAGACAAAGAAAGUGGAGCUUAUUAGUGUCGGCUGUGGUGACGCCGUUCUGUUGCAUGUCCUCUUUUGCUAGCUCUUCUUGCGCAGGAGGAACCGGAAGGCGGCGGCGAGAGCGCUGGUCACAAGCAGCUUGGUGCAACCCGCCACCAUCCCUACGACAGCACGUAGGUGCAACUACACCUAGUGGAGUGGAGGUAUGCCCCCCGGCCCUAUGUUGGAUCUGCCCUUGCCGGUCCAAGGCUUAAGUUCCUUGUAAUAGGUUCGUUUGAGAUUUUAACCAUUAGAUCUAGGCUAUAAAAGCCAACCCCAGUUACCCCAUGCCAUAGUCCUCUCAACCGUCGCACUCCUUCUCCCAAGCCAUCGUGGCUCAAAAGCUCGGGUCUGAAAAAAUCUCAAAGAUAAAGAAAGCGGAGCUCAUCAGUACAGGAUGUGGUGCUAUUAUUCUCUUGCUCGUCCUUUGCUGGCUCUUCCAACGUAGGAAGAAACGGAAGGCGGCAGUGAGAGCACUGGUCACAAGCAGAUUGGAGCAGCCUGCCACCCUCCACAUGGCAGCACACGUAGGAGCAACCACAUCGAGCGGAGCGGAGUGGAGGCAGGGGUAGGGGGUCUCAAGCCCCAUUGCUCCCACGUUGGAUCUACCCCUACAUGUCCAUGAUUUAAGUUUAAGUUUCUUGUAAUAUGUUCCUUUGAAUUUUUAACCAUUGGAUGUGGGCUAUAAAAGCCAACCCCAUGCAAAAAGCAUGGCCCAGUUACCCUAUACUGAAAAAAUCUUGAGGACAAAUAAAGUGGAGCUCAUUAGUGCCACUAUGGUACCAUCGUUCUGUUGCUUGUUCUCUUUAGCUAGCUCUUCCGACGUUGGAAGAACCGGAAGGCGCUGGUUACGAGCAGCUUGUAGCAGCCCGCCACCCUCCUCGUUGCAGCACGAAGAAGCAACCACACGGAGCGGAGGGGAAUGGAGGCGGGGUAGGGGCUCAAGCUAGCCCUCCUGCCCCACAUUGGAUCUAUCCCUGCCGGUCCAUGAAUUAAAUUCGUUGUAAUAUGUUCUUUUAAAUUGUUAACCAUUGGAUCUAGACUAUAAAAUCCAACCUCCAGGUAAAAAGCAUGUCGCGGUUACCCCAUACCAUACACUACCGGAGACGCGAUCUUUGCCGAGGGCCAAAUCGUUUGCCGAGAGCAAAACAUCGGGCACUCGGCAAAGACACAUUUUGCCGAGUGUAGCCCUCGGCAAAGGAAAACACUCGGCAAAAGUGUAUGUGCCGAGAGCAAAACACUCGGCAAAAAAGAACACUCGGCAAAGAUAGGCUAUGCCGAGAGCCAGGCUCUCGGCAAAGAAAGGCGCUCGGCAAAGCUAACGGCCGUUAUCUUUGCCGAGUGUACUCCACAGGGCACUCGGCAAAGACCCAGUUUGCCGAGAGCCGGCAAUAGACACUCGGCAAAGAGAGGUCUUUGCCGAGUGUCCUUGACGACACUCGGCAAACAAGUUUUGUUUUUUCCUUUUAAUUGGCACCAAACUUUUUGUAUUAUAAUUAUACGUUAAGUUGAACUAUAUAUAUAAUUUUAGCCUAUUACUCUAAUUGUUUGGUAUAUUUAGUCAAUUUAUUUCAUUUGAUUGAAUUUCUUGAGAUAAUUCAAAUUUGAACUGCGAGUCGAUCGAGGAAUUGAAAAAAGUGAAUCAAAAAAUUAUAUUCAUAUUAUUGAGCGUACGUUGAUGCCAUAUCCACGAACGGACAACAAAUUUUAAAGAUUAUGUUCACGACACGUAACCACAAAUUUAGGAUCCAGUUGUUUUUAAAUUCCAUAAAAUGCAAAUUUGGUCAGAAAAUUAUGAAACUUGUCGAGAUGUCAUGAUAUCAUAUGGGGAGGCUGUGGUAAAAUUUUGAUAUGGUUUCGUGAAAGUUGUAACGUACGAUGCUUACAAAUCUAUAUGUCCUUCACAUGUGAUAAUGAAACUUCUUUCCAUAUGUUUCGCAUUCUAAGCAUCGUACGUUAAAACUUUCACGAAACCAUAUCAAAAUUUUACCACAGCCUCGCCAUAUGAUAUCAUGACAUCACGACAAGUUUCAUAAUUUUCUGAACAAAUUUGCGUUUAAUGGAAUUUAAAAACAACUGGAUCCUAAGUUUGUGGUUACGUGUCGUGAACAUAAUCUUUAAAAUUUAUUGUCCGUUCGUGGAUAUGGCAUCAACGUACGCUCAAUAAUAUGAAUAUAAUUUUUCGAUUCACUUUUUUCAAUUCCUCGAUCGACCCGCAGUUCAAAUUUGAAUUAUCUCAAGAAAUUCAAUCAAAUGAAAUAAAUUGACUAAAUAUACCAAACAAUUAGAGUAAUGGGCUAAAAUUGUAUAUAUAGUUCAACUUAACGUAUAAUUACAAUACAAAAAGUUUGGUGCCAAUUAAAAGGAAAAAACAAAACUUAUUUGCCGAGUGUCGUCAAGGACACUCGGCAAAGACCCCUUUGCCGAGGGCCAGACGUACGGCUCUCGGCAAAGGUCUCUUUGCCGAGUGCCCGCGAUGCGGCUCUCGGCAAACUGCCCUUUGCCGAGUGCCGUGAUCUGGCCCUCGGCAAAGGCUGGGGUUUAUGCGCCCGGGACUUAAACGUUUCGCCAUUCAAACGCAACCGCCCCCGCCCCGCACCCCGCCGCCGCCCCGCUGUCGCGCCCGCACCGGCCGCCGCCGCGCUCCACCCGCCGCGCCCGCCCGCCGCGCCCCGCCCCCCGCGCCGCCGCCGCCCCGCCCGCCCGCCCCGCACCCCCGACGCCGCCCCGCCCGCCCGCGGCCGCCCGUGCCCGCGGCCGCCCAGCCCGCCGCGCCCGGCCGCCGCCCCGCCCGCCGCCGCCCCGCCAGCCGCGCGCGGCCGCCCGCGGCCGCCCGUGCCGGCCGCCGCCCCGCCCGCCGCGCCUGCCGCCGCCCCGCCCGCGGCCCCCGCGCCGCCGCCGCCCCGCCCGCGGCCCCCGUGCCGGCCGCCGCCCCGCCCGCCGCGCCUGCCGCCGCCCCGCCCGCGGCCCCCGCGCCGCCGCCGCCCCGCCCGCCGCCGCCCGCCCGCCCGCCCCGCACACCCGACGCCGCCCCGCCCGCCCGCGGCCGCCCGUGCCCGCCGCCGCCCCGGCCGCCCGCCGCCAUCCUCGCCGCGAACCUGCCCCCUGCCGUCCCCGUCACCAUCCUCGCCGCGGUUGACCCGCUCCCCGUCGCCAUCCUCGCCGCGGCUGACCCGCCCGCACCGCCCCUGGCUCCCCCGACGGGCGGCCCUGGUCCAGCUCCCCUGCCCCGGCCUCCUUCCUCGGUGGUGGCCGUGCCCCGACGACUUCGGUCCGGUCCCUCCUCGCUGCGCCCUGCCCCGGCCAGUGCUCGCUGCCCUCGGUAAGAUUUCUCGUAGAAUGGUAGCCAAUGCAAAACUGAAGAGUAUAUGUCUAAGAUAUGUCUAUGUUAUACUUUUUAUGUAAAAAUUAUCGAAGUUAUGUCCAAGAUCUGUCUAAGAUAUAAAGAUCUGUCCAAGAUCUGUCUAAGAUAUACAUAGGCAUUAAAACAUAUUUUCUUUAAAAUUAUCUAUACAUUAUGUUAUACUUUUUAUGUAAAAAUUUUCAAAGUUAUAUGUGAUCAUCGUAGGUGGCUUCCUUAAAAACCAUCUAGAGUAUACUACAUACUGUGUGGUAUGUACAAAUCCAUUGAAUAUAAUUUUUACUUACUAGUUUUACUUAAAUUGGUGCAUUAGAGGAUGGAGGACCGUGAGUGGAUGCACUCUGGGUGGUUAAGUCGGGGUCAGGUCACCGAUGAAUGGAUCGACAAGACCGAUGCAUUUUUGGAAAUGGUGUUUGGCGAAGCUGCUAAAGGAGCGGAUAGAAUGUUCUGUCCAUGCAGCAAAUGCGAAAACAGGAAGAGACAAACGAAGAAGGUCAUGGGGGAACAUCUCUGGAAGAAUGGAUUUACGACAGACUACAGUCGGUGGAUCUAUCACGGUGAAGCCGGUCGUAUUAGAGAAGAGGUGGUGAGACAACGCGUCGAGGAUUAUGAUGCUGAUGCCGGGGUAGCGGACAUGUUAGAUGACUUUCACGGUGCACAGUUCGCUGAAGGCCGUACAGAGGAGGAGCCAGAGGCAAGUGCAAAGGCGUUCUACAAAAUGCUUGACGCGGCACAAAAACCCCUUCAUGCACAUACAACGGUUUCUCAGCUGGAUGCCAUUGGACGUGUAAUGGCGUUGAAGUCGCAAUAUAGUUGGAGCCGAGAAGGGUUCGAUGCUAUGUUGACGGUUUUUGCCAGCAUGCUCCCCGAGGGUCACAUUCUGCCGAAGAGCUUGUACGAGUCGCAGAAACUCCUUCGUGCACUGAAGAUGCCGUACGACAAGAUACAUGCAUGUCCGAAGGGGUGCGUCCUGUUUAGGAAGGAACACGCGGAAGAAAAGUACUGUCCUAAGUGUAAAUCCUCUAGGUUCCUGGAGGUUGAUUCCGGUGAUGGCCACAAGACACAGCUUCAAAUCCCCGUGGCAAUUCUACGUUACCUUCCAUUCAUACCGAGGAUCCAGCGGUUGUACAUGAGUGAAGAAUCUGCGAAACAGAUGACAUGGCACAAAAAUGGCAAACGUUACAAUCCUGAGAAGAUGGUACAUGCAUCCGAUGGUGAAGCAUGGAGGCACUUUGAUACCAUUCAUCAUGAGAAAGCUAGAGAUGCUCGUAAUGUGCGUAUUGCGUUGGCAACGGAUGGGUUCAAUCCUUAUGGUGACAUGGCUGCCACAUACACAUGUUGGCCCGUGUUCGUUAUCCCACUCAAUCUUCCUCCCGGCGUAUGUUUUCAGCGACAGAAUGUAUUGUUGUCCUUGAUUAUUCCUGGACACCCGGGGGAUAAAAUGGGUGUGUUCAUGGAGCCUCUCAUUGAUGAUUUGGUCCGUGCUUGGGAGGAAGGUGUGUGGACAUAUGAUCGGGCUACAAAGACAAACUUCAAGAUGCAUGUUUGGUACCAAUACUCCAUGCAUGACUUCCUAGCGUAUGGGGUAUUUAGCGGCUGGUGUGUCCAAGGGAAGUGCCCAUGCCCAGUAUGCAAGGAAGACCUUAAGUUCAAUUGGUUGCCGAAGGGUGGCAAGUACUCGUCGUUCGACAAACACCGACAAUUCCUGCCUCUUGACCAUCCAUUCAGACGAGACAUCAAGAACUUUACCAAAGGUGUCGCGGUGACAGACCUUGCACCUCCGAUCAAGACCAGUGCCGUGGUUCGUCAGCACAUAGAUGGUCUCGUGGUCAAACCACAAGGUGGCUUUGAGGGAUACAGUGAGCAACAUUUCUGGACUCAUAAGUCGGGUUUGACUCGACUGCCCUAUUAUGAUGACCUUCUCCUUCCACACAACAUUGAUGUAAUGCAUACUGAAAAGAAUGUCGCUGAGUCAGUUUGGGGAACACUCAUGGACAUUCCCGGUAAGACAAAGGACAACGUUAAAGCUAGACUGGAUAUAGCAACGUUGUGCGAUAGACGAAACCUAGAGAUGCAGCCUCCUGGUCGCGGAAAGACAUGGACAAAGCCUAAGGCCGAUUACGUCUUGAGCAAAGAUCAAAGGAAGGAAGUACUACAAUGGAUCAAGACGUUGAUGUUCCCUGAUGGGUAUGCAGCUAAUCUGAGUAGGGGUGUCAACCUCUCUACUAUGCGAGUCUUAGGGAUGAAGAGUCACGACUACCACAUAUGGAUUGAGCGGCUUCUUCCGGUGAUGGUUCGAGGCUAUGUCCCUGAGCGUGUCUGGCUAGUGCUUGCAGAGUUGAGCUAUUUCUUCCGCCAGCUUUGUGCAAAGGAGUUAUCUCGGACCUUGGUUGCUGACUUAGAAAGAUCUGCACCGGUCUUGGUCUGUAAGUUGGAGAAGAUCUUUCCACCCAGCUUCUUCAACAAGAUGGAGCAUUUGAUUUUGCACCUUCCAUAUGAGGCUCGGAUGGGGGGCCCGUGCUUGGUCGUUGGUGCUAUCCAAUCGAGAGAUGUCUAAAGGUUCUUCGAAAGAAAUGUGGAAAUAAAUGCAAAAUCGAGGCUUCCAUGGCAGAGGCAUACAUUCUGGAGGAGGUGUCCAACUUCACAACAACAUACUAUGGCGACAACCUCCCUAGCGUGCAUAAUCCACCGCCUCGAUACAAUGCUAACGAAAAUGAGUCAACCCUCAGCAUUUUUCGAGGUCAACUUGGAACCGCAAGUGGUUCAGUCACCAAGACAUUGAGUCAUCAAGAGUGGCGUCAGAUAAUGAUGUAUGUGUUGACCAACCUUGAGGAGAUGGCGCCGUACAUAGAGCAAUUUAUUUGCGAAUUCUGGCGACAAGGAGGUAGUCCUGCCCCGCAGCAACUUGAUUUCCUUCUUAGUCAUGGUGCGGGAAAUGGAGGGCCCAAUUUCAUUUCUAGGAUCAAACAUAAGGUAUCGUCCGAUCUAUCGUGUCUCGGUUCAUUUCAUUUCCUUUCAUUUGAAGUUCUUCUUACAUUCGAUCUACCGUGUGCUCAAACUUGUAGGCUCAAAGGGAUACGUCUAUGAGUGCUGAGUUGAGACAGGUUUCCGAUGGCUUUAAAUAUAGGGUGAAAUCAUACUCUGGUUAUGACGUGAAUGGAUAUCGUUUUUGGACAAGAAGGUACGAGGAAAGUCGACCCAAUCGGAAGACCACCAAUUCAGGAGUUUUCACACCUGGUCUAGAUGGAGUCGAGUAUUAUGGAACAAUUGAAGAAAUAUACGAGCUCAGUUUUGGUGGUUCCAAACCUCUUAAUCCUGUGAUAUUUAAAUGUCAUUGGUUUGAUCCACAAGUCACUAGAAGCACACAUGUAAAUCUUGGUAUAGUCGAGAUUCGACAGGAUUCUACCUUACCGGGGGACGAUGUUUAUAUUGUUGCCCAACAGGCAAAACAAGUUUAUUAUCUCCCAUAUGCAUGUCAAACCAAAGAACAUCUUAAGGGUUGGUAUGUUGUGUAUAAGGUAUCACCGCACGGCAAAUUACCUGUCCCAAAUGAUGAAGACUACAUCUUAGACCCAAACACAAAUGACUUGGAGUUCUUUCAAGAAGAGGGGUUAGAAGGCCGAUUUGAGAUAGACUUAACUGAGGAUGUCCGAAUGGAAGUUGAAAUUGUGGUUGAUGAUGAGGAGGCGGAUGAGGUGCAAAACGCGAAUGACUUACAUAUGCUAGAAAGGUUUCAUUUAGGCAACAUCGAUCACGACAUUGAGUCAGAUAGUCUUGAGUACAACUUGGUUGAUAGUGAUGAUGAGAGUUAUGAUCCAGCUAAUCCCGAUCAUGAAGAUUAUUUCUAAUCAAUGUAAUACUAUUAUUAUGUUUUAUUUACUUUGCAUUUCUUUUAGGUACAUUUUGUUUAUCUGUACUUAUUGUUUUUACUCUUCUUAAUUGUAGGUGAUUGAGCAAAGAUGGUUGGCGGGAUGAGGAGCGUGUCUGGGCUUUACCAGCAGGCUAGGUCCAGGUUUUCUGGGCGGUCUGCUCCUUCAGCUCGGGCGGCGUCUGCUUCAGCUCAGGCGGCGUCUGCUCCUGAUCGGGAGGCACCUGUCAGGAGGAGGAGGGGAGGAGGAGGAGGAGGACUAGACAGGAGCCGGAGGAGGAGGAGGAGGAGGAGGCGCGGGUGGAGACGCAGCAGUAGGAGGAGCAGGGGGAGGAGGAGGAGGAGGAGGAGGAGGAGGCGGUGGCGGCACAGCAGGAGGACGAGGAUCUUGGGGGAGAUCCACAGGGCGGCGGUACCGCGUCUGGUUCCGGUACCGCCUCAGGUUCCGGCACGUCUGCUUCCGGCGUGUCGCGUGUGUACUUGCGAGGUCCAGCUACUCUACCUCGCCGACCGAUACCUCUGACGAGGCGCCCGAUUAUUGCACCCGAUGGAAAAGCGUAAGUAACUUUAGAUUUUAUCAUUGCUUCUUCCUGUUUUAAAUUCCAAAUAAAAACUAAUUAUUUUUCUCAAUCACUUGAGCAGGAGCUGGCUGAUAGUGGAGAGUGGAGGGUGUCACACACGCCAGGUCAAUGGCAUUCUCGGGCUUCUUUGUAGAGAGCACUACCCUGGGCUUGUUGAGUUCGGUGGAGUGGUGGAGCCGGCCACUACCUUCGACCACUACGCCGCCGCCCCAGACGCUGAAGAUCGAGACGGUAGAAGAUUCAGGAACAAGGCAGAGCGGGUAAAGCAGGAGCUGUGGGUAAGUGCUCGAUACAUCGUAUUCAUUGCACAUUAUUGAAAUAAUGAAUUGAUUCAUCGCGUUUGUAUGCAGGAUUUCUUCAGAUGUCGCCCAGGAAUGGAGGCCAAGGCGGAUGCGGUGGCUGAUAAGUGUUGUCAUACACUUGUCACCAACCUGCACUACGAGGCACGCGUCCAGGCCAUCAUUAAUUACCACGCCACUGUCCUUGGUGAGAGGGUGAACAAAGAGCAAGCAAGAACCAUGAGGUUGACUCGGGAGCAAUACCUGGAGGUAAGUACAUUAGUUGUUGUCGACAUUAACGAUUAAUUUCCGCUGCUGCUACGUCACUUAUACUUCAUUUCUGUAGAUGAUUCCUUAUUGGUGCUCGGCGCAUCCCGACUGCUGGCAACGAAUCGUGGACCAGUGGUGCACGGAGGAGUGGGAGCAGACGCACAACACUCGCCGAGAGCACCGUUUGAUGAUGCCAGGUGUGACACACCAUCAAGGCAGCCGUAGCCUCAACGCAUACAGAGAAGCCUGGGUAUGACAAUUCAGUUAUUAAUUCUAACACUCAAUUAUGUAUGAUCUUCUAAUCAUCUUGCUGGUUUCAUCGCAGUCGUCGUCACAUGGUGGGCAGCCGUGCAAUGAGUUCAAGGGAUAUGCUCUAGCCCACAAGGGCAAGGCGAGGGCUGACAUCGACUACAACCCGGAGGACGGGCCUGAGGCAUACAGCAACCCGAGUGUCCACACCCGCCUCACUGAGUACACCUCUAUGGCAAGGGAGGUCCAUGGACCAGACUUCGAUCCGACGACUGAGGAUCUUGACGUGGAGGUUGUCAUGAGGGUCGGAGGAGGAAAGAAGCACGGCCGCUACUGGAUUGCCGACAGCGCAAUAGACCCGUCCUCUGCUCCCACUCUAUCUCAGAUUCGAGCAAGGAGCACGAGCUCGAGCCCCGCCAUACGACCCCGGGCCUCCGGGUACCAGGCCCUCCAGGUGAUUGUUUCUUUAUCCUACUUCACACUAUACGUUGAUUCAUUCUUUCUUUGCAUUACCGUAACAUUAGGAUUUAAAUUGUGCAGCAACAACUCGAAGAAGAGAGGAACAGACGUAUGGAGUUGGAGGCGAGGAGUCAACAGUUGGAGGCGAGGAUGAGUGCCGACCAAGCGAGGAUGGCGGAAAUGUUUCAAUACAUGCAGAGUCUGGGCGCCGCAACGGGUGUACCUCCGCCAACUUCACUCUUUCCGCCAACAUUCGGCACUCCGGUGAGUUCAGUACGCUCUUUGAAUGUAUUGUUGUGUUGUGUCUCAAACUUCUUUUCUUUGCAGAAUCAGUCGGCGGGCUCAAAUGAUCCAUAUGCAUCGCCAAAGUCGGGAGCGUAUCCUAAUCCGGGGCUUGGAGCGUCUCCGGGUGUUGGAGCGUCUCCGGGUGUUGGAGCAUCUCAGAAUCCGGGAACUUGGCCACCACCACAGGGAACUUGGCCGCCACCACCAAGUUGAGCUAUUCACACUUUGACUUAUCGAUAUGUUGCAACUUUAGGACUUGUGUAUGAUAUUUGAACUUGGAACUAUGAACUUGCUCUAUCGUGGAUGAUUGUAUUGUGUUGCAACUCUAGAACUUGGUCUAUUGUGUUUGAACUUGGCCUAUUGUCUAUUGUGUUUGAACUUGGCCUAUUGUGGAUGACUGUAUUGUGGUCUAUUGUGGAUGAAUCUCUUUAUUGUAUUGUGGUCUAUAUUGUGGUAUAUUGUCUACUGAAUAAAAAUAGGUUCUGGACCCUUUGCCGAGUGCCCCAGGUUUUGCCGAGAGCAGGCUCUCGGCAAAGGGUCCUAAACUUUACCGAGAGCUAGGCCAUGCUCUCGGCAAAGAGGCCCAGGUUUUGCCGAGAGCAGGCACUCGGCAAAGAGGCCCAUGCUUUGCCGAGAGCAGGCUCUCGGCAAAGGUGCGCCUGUUUGCCGAGUGCCGGGUCAGGUUCUCGGCAAAGGUGCCGUAACGGCCACACAGCCUACAGGUAGUACCUUUUCUUUGCCGAGGGCCCCGUUUGCUCUCGGCAAAUAGUUUGCCGAGCGCCCGAGAAAGGGCUCUCGGCAAAGCCUCCUUUGCCGACAGAAAAUUUGCCGAGAGGUCUUUGCCGAGAGCCCCUCUCGGCAAACUCUUUGCCGAGAGGCUUUGUAGAUUUACCGAGUGCUUCUGGCACUCGGCAAAUCUGCUGCAUCCGGUAGUGAUAGUCGUCCGCGCUCCUUCUCCCAAGCCAAGCAGGCUGCAGGCCGAUACACCCGGCGGAUAGAUGGUAGCUGCUCGCUAUGUCAGUCCACCCCGUGCGCCGGCGUUGGAUGUCAGCAGUCAGCAGCAUGCCGGCGAUGCUGGGGACGGCGCUUCUUCUUGAUGCGUGCUGGCCACGGUGGGUGUCAUCCAGCUCAAGCUCGGACUGCUGUCAAGCCUGGCAUACGGUGGCACGGUGACCAUGGGCGCGGUGCUGCUGAGGCUGCUUGGGCUCGCCGGCGCGGCCACGCAGUCUAGCUACGUCGGGGCCGUGGUCGAUCUACUGUCUACUCCCUCAGGCCUCAGGCCUCAGGGUGUAGCCUUUUCCAAAAAUUUUGAUUUCCAAGUUAAAUGCAAACAUAUAUUAGGUCGCUCAGACCCAGGAACCAAUGCUUGGUGUGAAAUUGUAACGUACAGUACUAUAUUUAACGUAGUAGGCGUUUCACUACAUUGUACAAGUUCCCAAUGAAUUUAUUUAAACAAAGAAGUUUGCACUGUCCUGCUGUGACCCACCCAAGUCAGCCCCGCCGUCUCGUUCAUCCGGAACGGCAGGCUUCAAUUGGUAAUGUCAGUUCUUUUAAAAGAAGAACAAAUCCAUAGUUGCUACAGCUAGCAUAUGUCAGCUGGUAGCAGUAUGUUAACGUUUGCGCGCGCCAGAACAUUGGACCAAAUGAGAGAAACGAUCCAUGACUGAUUCAAAUAAAAUCUCUGAGCUAGACUCAUUCUACCAUGUCAAUCUGAUCGGAAGUUAGGCCAUGUCAAGCCAAAGCUUCUGCAGGCUCUUGAGCACAGGAUAUCCUCCCAGCAAACGGUUUCAGCAAUCUUAAGCUUCUCACAAGUGAACAAUCUUUCUUCUAGGUUGACAGCGAAUCUUUAAUUUGUAUGAGUCUACAGCAUGAAAACAUGAGUGUUACCACACAUGCAUCGACAAAGGAAAGCCAGAGCUGGCACAGGACGGACAUAGGACAUGGCAACUUCCAAAUGAGUCGGAUGACAUAAGAAGAGCUAACGUUACCUCAAUUAGUAAGUUAUUAGUGAUCCGAUCAAAUCGAUAGUAAUCGGUUGCAUGCAUUGCGCCUGUUACUGACUCUCCCGGAAAAUAAAAUGUCAUAGACAUGUCUUUUCCUUUUUUUUCAAAAAAGAAGCAAUGUCACGGAAAUUUAUAUUUAAAAGAUUUGCAGGACAGCAGAAAAUUUGAAUUAUUUACUUUGGCAAAUUGCAUUCACAUAUGACAUACACACAGAUGUUUGCCGUAGCCUAGACAUUGGAGCUCUGGUCAACAGAGCAACUUCUCCAAAUACAAAAUUAAAGGUUCUUCAAACAUCUAACAUAGUUGCUCUAGCAAACAUGUCUUGGCAACAGUACAAAAUUAAAGGUUCUUCAAACAUCUAACAUAGUUGCUCUAGCAAACAUGUCUUGGCAACAGUUUUUACCAGAACAUACAUCAAGUUCAAUCAGACACAAUUGGACGAAUGG
rnacentral:lncRNA from 1 species